CACCUGGCUACAAUAACAUCUCAUCUCAGCUGCCAAUCAGGAAAUUGUCACAUAAGGAAUGUGAGAAAUUGUAUGCCAACGCUCUCCUUGCUCCUUUUGGUACAACUGCUUAAUUAAUGGACAGUCAUGAAUGGACAAAGUAGAAAGGGAGAUGGGUAGACCCUCCUCUGGCAAGCUCUCAAAACAAGGACAGUCUUCAAUAUAUAGAGAUUCAAGUGAAGUGAGGUGGAGAAGACCCUUGUAGUUGAUUUUUCUUAGGUUGGAACAAUUUGUCAACUCAAGAGAGUUAAUAGUUGAUGGCAGCAUACUCUCCUCUGGAAAGGAUUCCAAGAUUUCAAAAUCAUCACUAACACUCAAUUGUUUUAAAGAUUUGAGUUGGAACAAACCCCACUCCUCUCUCGAAGCCUUUUCAAGGUGGAUGGCAAUUCAUUUAUCAAAAUGCCAUCACAUCUCUUUAGUUCUAGCUCACUGAUAUUACCAGCCUUGGGAAUUGACGCCUCCAACUCUUGGCAAUCAAUAAUCUCCAAUUUUUGCAAACAAGGAAGGUAUUGAGGCAGGUCACUUUUCAACUUGGGACAAUGUUUUAUACAAAGCUCUUUAAGAAAAGGGAAACCUCCACGACAUAACCAUACCUUCCAUUCAGACAUGUUCUUAAAACACAAUGUUUCAAGGGAUCUAAAUGGAACAUUUGAUGAAUUAUAGCCGCAAAACUCUGAACCAAUGAACGUUAUUCCAUGACAUCCUGAUAUGGAAAGCUUCUUGAGAGAAGGGAACUGCCCAAGUGGUGGCAACUGGGAACAAUAUUUACAUCCCAACAAUUCAAGAGAUACUAAAUUGGGUAGAUGAUGAUCCCCAAGCCAAUUAGGAAAGCUACUACCUCUGUAGUCAUUGAUGCCGAGCCUCAUGAGAUUUCUAUUUGGUCGAAGAGCCUCCAAGAUCGAGACACGUGCUUUAGUUACUGAGUGAUGAGUAAAUAAUGAGUAGUUUUUAUAUAAUAUUUGAUUUCGUUUUAUUUAGAUUUAAGUUUAUUUUAUUUUAAUAUACGGCCAUGCCACCUCCUAGGCCUACUUUUGCUGCUUUUGCUUCAUGGACAAGCUGCCUAUUUUGACCUAAAAGCCCGUGGUUUCUUGUGGAACAUUCUACUGAAUAGUUGCUUAGGUUUUAAGUCGACAUAAGACUAUAAAUAAAGUAUCUAGCUAUCACAACAAAUCAUCUUUUGUUCUCUGAAAUAAUAAGUGACAAUUGUUUCUUUGAAUAAAAGUUCACCUUUAUUUUAUGUUCUUCUUCCUCUUCUUCUCUUCUAUGUCUACAACGAACGUUAGUGAGUAGGCUCUCCUUGUCUUGGGAUUGUUGGAUAAGUCUAAUAACGUAAACCUAAUCAAACCAAACCAUAAACCCUAGUUUUAUAUAAAUCUACUUCUACUUUCUAAUCUAAUUUCACCGUUUUUAUAAUGAAUUAACAAUUACUAAGCUAAGAAGCGAAUGCGGAGGGUUUAGUAAUUGUUAAUUCAUCAUCACAAAUAUUAAGCGAAGGAUCGAAAGAUGGAUUUUUAAUAUUGAAACAAGUGAAAUUAGACAAAGGUUGCGAAACAUGAGAAUAGUCUAGCAAACCUUGAGACAUAUAAAGUUUCGUUCUUCAAGGAUUCUAAUAGAAAUCAACCAUGAGAAUAGGCGUGGUUGCUGGAGGAACACACUCACUGAGACCGAAAGGAGAUGUGAUAGGCUAAAGAGAAACUUAUCUUUAGAAAGUAGAUCAAAUAUAAAGUUAGAAGUUUAGGGUUUGUUGGUGAAGGAUUUGUUGUUAUGAUGAACCAAUAAUCCCAAUGCUCUUUUAUUUUUAUUCUUUUCUUUUAAUUAAAAAUCCAAACUUUCUCAAACUCUCAUCUAAUCAUUAUUUAAAGUUAAUUGAAUUCAUAACUCCCUGUCGGAACGAUACUCUUUUAUUGCUACAUCGGUAGAACUGUGCACUUGCGGUUUUAUCCCAUCACUGAGCCAUCCAUUUCUCUCAAUUCAUCGUACGACAAACUUAAUUCUUCUAAAUGUUUCUUAUCUUUCAAAUUUGCUGCCAUAGCAUCUGCUGGAUCAGCAACAUUUACAACCCUGAAAUUUGAAGCCUUCCUUUAAGGUGGUUGACUUCUGCCAACUGCUUAAUAUCAUAUCCAUGUUGCUCUCCCACAACAAAAUCAGUCAGAAUCUCAAGAUUGAAUAAUUCUCGUAUCUCCUUUGGCAUCUUCUUAAUAUGCGUUCCUUUCAAAUUAAGAUGACGUAAAUUGAUAAGUUUGCAAAAAUUUGAUGGGAGCUUAGUCAAUUUAAAACAUUCUUCCGGUAAGAGCGUAUGCAAAUUAUACAACAUGCAAAUGGAAUUAGGUAAGCUUGUAAUUUCAGUGUAAGAAAGGUCUAGAUAGCACAAAAGCUUUAAAUUUCUUAUCAGAUCAUCAGCUAGCUCUAAAAGAUUGGAACCAGAGAUAGACAACAUCCGCAAAUAUUUUAAUAAUUUUAAGAACAAAUUAAGCUGUCCGUCGGUGCUUAACUUAAAUCCGCAAAUAUUUUAAUAAUUUUAAGAACAAAUUAUAACUGUCUGAAAGUAAAAAUUCGACUAUUUCCUCUUUUUCACGCUCUCUACCAUAUACGAUAGAUUCAGCCAUGAAUGAUGAAGUAGCAAAAUCGCUGGCUCCAUCUUCAUAAUAAUAAGAACUAUGAAGUUGCAAUCUAUCCUUUUGAUUUGCAAGAAACUCUAACCUCUUGAGCAAUACUUUAAUCCUAGAUUCAAAUCGAUUGAUAGAACCUGAAAGAUAGCGUUGUAUCUUUCCCUUUUGUUGUGCAGCAUCAGUAGCAAUGACAUCCAAUACUUGCUCUAAUUCUUAUACCGCAUCACUGCCAUCAUCUUCACGUCUAGUUUCUCGUACUACUCUGUCUCUUCGUCAUCCAGCACUUUAUUGAUAGACUUCAGUGUGAUUUCAAGUUUUUUCACUAGCCCAUCAUUCAAGUAGUCUCUGAAAUCUGUUGAAGCUAACCUCUCAUAAAUCAAUUGAAUGAUAGGGGAAAGAAAUGCCUGACCAACAACAACCUCUGCCAUGAUAUCAAUUAAUUGAACAAAAACAAAAUGAUCUGAGCAAGCGUGUUUCACAACUCUGGGAUGUAGGCUAUAUGCAAGCGUAUUUAUUUAUUCAUUGAUUUGUUUAUUGUUACAAUACCAACCACCUCAACUCUAUUCACUUGUUUCAACCAUAUAUUCUUUUUAAAAUGAUAAACUUAUGUCAAAUAACACCUAGAGUGGGAAUAAGCUGGCCUAAGCUAUAAGUUGUUAGGCAUAAGUAUGUUGAUAAAAAAACAAAUAAUUCAAGGACUAAAUUUAAUAUGUAGUCUAUCAUAUGCUUAUGUUAUUGUUGGAGUUUUUUUAUUUUAUUUUUUUAAAUCUGAUAUGAUAAAAGUAUUUAAAUAAGUAAUAUCACAUGCAUGUUUCCCCCCAGCCGAUGGAAGAUUAGGCGAGUGUUAUUGCAACCGAAUGAGGACCAUCUGAUUCUUUCUCAACUCUUAUGCAUAGUACAUGGAUCUUGAAGACUUUCGACUAAGUCAAAGCUUAGUAGAACGGAACAAUGAGACAUGAAACUCAAGAUCCUUGUUUUUAGCACCAUUAACCACAAAGAGUGACGAGUAAGGAGUUUCGUUUCAAGGAAGAUUGUGCACUAUGGAACGUUAUCAACGGAUCAAGUUGUCAAGUUGGAAGAUGUCAGCCGAACUAGGGCACUACAUGUCAUGUCAUGUCCUUCCGUCUCCUCCAAAACCCAACUCGCACAAAAUCCACAAAUUCAUGUGUUAUUUUGUAUCAGAAAAAAAAAACAAAUCUAAAUUUUUUAGUUUUUGAAGACGGAGAUGCUCUAAAUUCCAAGUUUUUCCAAGUUAAAAAAAAAGUAAAAAAAACUUCCAAGUCUCUGUUUAGAUAUAUUAUCCGGUUCAUUGAAAGAUAUUAUCCUUUUUAUACUAAAAAAAAUUAAAAAUAAACUUCGAUACAUCAUACAUUAAAUAAGAUUUACUGUAUAAAUUAAGAAACAUUUGGAAAUGUAAAGUGAAAAUGGCCAACAAUAAUUAAGUGGUUAAUGAGCUUCCAUCGAACAACGAAAUUCGGAUGGAUGGAAUAAUUCUUAGACAAGUGAUAUUGCGGAAGAACUUUGGAAAGAUUUUAUGAGAUGAAGGAAAGGAAGAAAAAUGUAAAAUUUCGGGUUCUUUUUUAUAUGAGAAGCAAUCUAAUAGAACAAGUAAGUUGAUAAGUAAUAUGUGUUGUAAAAUUAAGCAUAAAAUAUUAUCUCUAUAAAUAAUAAACAAUAUAUAAAUAUAAUAAUUAAUUUAUAUUGAUGAGAAUAAACAAAAGAGACAAAUCAAUUAAACUUAUCUGUCUUGAUAUUGUUGUAGAAUUGACCAUCUACAUAAUUCAAUCAACAUCUUUAAACACCAAUUUGAUAAGAGAACUGCAACAUGAACAAACGGUGGAAGUAGUCUGAGACAUGCUGAUCACACUGUCUUUAAGGAUUUUCCGCUUAAUUAUACUCUAAUCCUAACAUACCCUGCUUGGUUUAAAACCAAGGAUGCAGAAGUCGCAAGAAGGAAAAUUUUCAGGAAGAUGAGAACCAAAUGUUGUGUAUAGACUCAUGAAAAAUCAAAUAAUACAUGACUUGAAGCUUAUGGUUUUUGUUGUGCUAUUGCUCACUAACCAUGAAAAGGGAGAAUUUUCUACAGUACGGUGUAAACUUCUACUCCCUUCUCAAGUGGUAAAACGUGCAGCAAUAGAGAUACACAUAUAUAUUUAGUUUUAGUGAAUUAAGGUUUGGCUAAACAAUAUUAUUUUACAUUCAAGAGAUAUUAAAGCAAAAACGGUUACAAAACUUUGGAGUUGAAAAUAUGUUACAAAACCUGGUCAAAGAUUAUAAAUAAUAAUUAGAUAAUGAUUUCUAUUAAAAUAUUUUUUAUAUAUUUCUCAAUUAAAAAUAUAGGACACAAAAUAUUUAAAACUUUUGAAAUAUACUCAAAAUUUACAACAAUAUGAAAUGCAAUCUAUAGCAGGAAAAAAUAAUGAACAUUUAGCAUAGAGAGGAAAUGACCUAGGCGUGUUUCAAGUUAUCAACUAAGUGAGAUGUGAUUGAUCAUCAAAAAAAUAAAUAAAUUGGGAAACAUCAAUACUUUGUUAUUCACUACUAAAUUUUUAAAUUGAUAAGCUUAUGAAAAAUACUGGCUGGGAAUAAAUUGGGUUGAGCUAAAAGUUGUUUAGCCUAAACUUGAUCUGAUAAAAAAUUUCAAGGAUUAAAUCUUGCAUGUAAUCUCUUAUAUACUUAAGUUUAGGUAUGAAUUUGAUCUUUUAUAAAGUUUGGUAUGACUAGUUAACCUACAUAAAAAAAAUAAUUCUAAAGGAUAACUUUUGUGAAAACAUUUAGAGUUUAUGAGAACAUUUUAUGACAUGUCCUGAAGCUGUUUUCAACUUAUCGAUAAGCUCUAAAGAUUGCUUAUGAAAAUAGUUUGACUUUAUUUUAACUUUUGUUAUAGAAACAGCAAGCACUUGUAUGAAACAUUUAUGCUUUAAGCACUUAGUUAUUUUUCCAAACAAAACCUGAUUAUGAAAGAGAGACUUUGUAUAUCAAACUUUGGUCAAAAAUAUGUUUUCUAAAUGCCUGAAAAGAAAGACAGAAUAGUGUUACUUGGCUAUCACUGAACCUCAUUUUCUCUACUAUCUUUCUCUCAAUAAAUGUCAUCAUUCAACUUCUAACAGAAAAUUACAUAUUAAUUAUGUUGUAAUCAUUACCAGUAAAAACCUUGUGAAAGAAAUAAACAAUUAUAUCCAAAUACUCGUGAAUAGGCAUAACUAUCUAUAACUGUAACCUGGACCAAAUUUGUUAAAUAAAUGAAAUGUGAAAAGGUGGUUCACAUUAUUGAUCUCCAUUUUUCCCAUAUGAAACUAUAAAUCUGAAAAAUACAGGAAUUCAUGAAAAGAAAGAUGUAUUGGACCAAAUGAGCUAUCAUUUGACAACUAAAGCAGGGAAAUUGCAUUUUCCUUUACAGAUUAAUCCAACCAAAGUUGCAAACUCAAAGAUGUCAAUUUCGAAAACUUGUCUGUGAAGACAGAAGAUGCUGUUGUAAUUACUUCUAAUCUUCAGCUACAUUCUCUCCUCGCCCUUGAUGAUGAAACGGCUGGGAGAAUCUCACCAGCAGGACCAGCAUUUAUCAAUCUGCAGUGAGAAGUACACAUAGGUCAGAGGGAUUCCGUAAAGUGGCUCGAGAGAGAUAUGAUCAAUGCAUAUAUCUUGAGUCCUGAUUCGCCAUUGUUGGAUCUAUUUUUAGGCAGUUCACCUAAGAAGGAUAUUUGCUUAACACUACGCAAAAUCUACAACCGCAACUUUUAGUGAUUACUGAACAGGAUCAAAUCUAUAUAGAUGUAAUUUAAUGAAGAGAAUCAACCGAGCAUUUAAAAUUCACUUUUUGACUGCUUGGACUCAACUGGUACGAGGACAUCAGUGGAUCAACAAAAGAAUGAGCCCAUGCUUCAAUAAUAACAGCCACAAGAAAUUUGAUUAAAUCAUGGUUCAACUAUGAUUAAAAAACACCAAAUUUCACUGAUAACAAAGUGGCAUAAAAAAAGGGCAACCCGGUGCACUAGAGCUCCUGCAUAUGCAGGGUCCGGGUUUCAAUUUUUUAUUUUCUGCAAUAUUUUCUACCACUUCUUUCUAACAAUAAAAAGUAAAACAGAAAAUCAAAGUUAAAGGACAUGUCAUAUCCUCACCUUAUAAUUGGUAGACACAAGUAAUUCUCACGCCUCUUUUUUCAAGUCUCAUGUUUUCUGGGAACCUGAAAUUAAUACAGAGUCACAAUAUUAAGAGACCCCGAAAAAGGGAUACAAAGUCACAAGAAUAACAAAGAGAAGAUUAUAUGGUGACUUAAAUUAAAAACAAUUACAUCAUGCACAACAAGUCGCAGCGUCGACACAUCCAAAUGCGGAGCCUACAAUUAGACCAUGCAUGAGCUUUGUGGAAGUAAAAUAAACAGCAACAUACUUUUGGUUGUGUGUGAGAGCAGUGGUCAUGCCAUUCGUUUGGUCACGAAUGAGAAUGGAUCGCAACAAGAGAGCAUGGUUUCAGGUCACAUGUAAGCAGUCAGAAACACCAUUGAAACAUAUAUCACAAACACAGUGCACUGUUCAACAUAAAACACAGUAUGUUGUGCAUUAUUUUUACUGUUUAAAAGAAAAUAUACUAAUGUUUGACAACUAUAAACAGAUUGGUGAAUGUGCUGCACCUGGCUACAAUAACAUCUCAGCCGCCAAUCAGGAAAUUGUCACGUUAGGGAUGUGACAAAUUGUAUGCCAACGCUCUCCUUGCUCCUUUUGGUACAACUGCUUAAGUAAUGGACAGUCAUGAAUUGACAAAGUAGAAAGAGAGAUAGGUAGACCCUCCUCUGGCAAGCUCUCAAGACAAGGGCAAUCUUCAAUAUAUAGAGAUUCAAGUGAAGUGAGGUGGAGAAGACCCUUGCAGUUUAUUUUUUUUAGGCAGGAACAAUUUUUCAAAUCAAGAGAGUUAAUACUUGAUGGCAGCAUACUCUCCUCUGGAAAGGACUCGAAGAUUUCAAAAUCAUCACUAAGACUGAAUUGUUUCAGAGAUUUGAGUUGGAACAAACCCCACUCCUCUAUUGAAGCCAUCAAAUUAGGGCAUCUUUCUAUUCGGAGGCUGCCUAGGUUGGAAGGCAACUGCCUCCCGAAAAAUGAUUCCAGCAAUGGACAAUCGUACAACACGAGAGAAUUAAGAUUGGUGAACAAGUGUAGUGCAAAAGGCAAGGAGGAAGAGUGCCAACUUGUUAUGGUUAAAGUGCGAAGAGAAUUACAGCUACGCAUAUCCAAAGAGGACCAUUCUAGAUUUUGACCAAAGAAGUCUUCAACUUCCAAUUCUUCAAGAAAGGUACUGUUAAAUAGAAUUUUCUCUAGGGCGGAUUCAAUGAUCUGAGUUCCACAAAGGAUGACCUUUUUCAAGUUGGAUGACAAUUUAUUUAUCAAAAUGCCAUCACAUCUCUUUAGUUCUAGCUGAAUGAUAUUAUAAGCAAUGGGAAUUGAAGCCUCCAAAUCUUGGCAAUCAAUUAUCUCCAAUUUUUGCAAGCAAGGAAGAUGUUGAGGCAGUUUCCUUUUCAACUUGGGACAGUAUCUUAUUGAAAGCUCUUUCAGCAAAGGGAAACCUUCAAUACAUAACCAAUCUUUCCAUUCAGACAUAUUCUCAAACCGCAAAGUUUCAAGGGAUCUAAAUGUAAAAUUUGAUGAAUUAUAGCGGCAAAACUCUGAACCAAUGAUACCUAUUCCAUGACAGCCUGAAAUGGAAAGCUUCUUGAGAGAUGGGAACUGCUUAAUUUGUGGCAACUUGGAACAGAGUUUACAUCCCAACAAAUGAUGAUCCCCAAGCCAAUUUGGAAAGCUACUACCUCUGUAGUCAUUGAUGGUGAGCCUCACGAGGUUACUAUUUGGUUGAAGAGCCUCCAAGAUAGAGACAUGUGCUUCAGUUUCUGAGUCAUCUAUUUCUCUCCAUUCAUCGUACGACAAACUUAAUUCUUCUAAAUGUUUCUUAUCUUUCAAAUUUGCUGCCAUAGCAUCUGCUGGAUCAGCCACAUUUUUCAACCCUGAAAUUCGAAGUCUUCCUCUAAGGUGGUUGAGUUCUGCCAACUGCUUAAUAUCAAAUCCACGCUGCUCUCCCACAAUAAAAUCAGUCAGCAUCUCAAGGUUGAUUAACCCUCUCAUCUCCUUUGGCAUCUUCUUAAUAUGGGUGCCUUUCAAAUUAAGAUGACGUAAAUUGAUGAGUUUGCAAAAAUUUGGCGGGAGCUCAAGUAGUUUAAAACAUUCUUCCAGUAAGAGCGUAUGCAAAUUAUACAACAUACAAAUGGAAUUAGGUAAGCUUGUAAUCUCGGUGUAAGAAAGGUCUAGAUAGCGCAGAAGCUUUAAGUUUCUUAUCUCAUCAGCUAGCUCUGAGAGAUUGCAACCAUUGAAAGAUAACUUCCGUAAAUAUUGUACUCUUGAAUACAAAUUAUACUGCACAUUGGUGGAUAUCUUAAAGCGUUUAUCACCAUAGCCUUGUGCUUCUACCAUCAGACUCCGUACUCCUUUAAUGUUAUGAAUCUGCUUUAGUUUUCUAUCACCAUCUUCCAAAUCAAGGCAGCACCAAAUGUGACGUGUCCUUUGAGGGAUAUCUUGCACUUUCACACCCUCUAUUCGUAAGCAGAAUUCUCCUGACAUUGAUGUCGCUAAAUCAUGGACAAGAUCAUGCAUGAUGAAAUUGUACUUACCAGCCCAGAAUGGCAUAAUUGCUGAUUGUUGGAAAAACGACAUUGACACUAGAUCAUUGAAGAAUUUAUUACCCAACUCUUCUUCAUCUUUGGCUAUUCCCUUUAUCAAACCUUCUGCCAUCCAAAGUUUGAUUAAUCCAUCCUUUUCAAACUCAUAACCCUUGGGAAAUAUAGAACAAUAAGCAAAACAAUGCUUCAGAUUGGAAGGGAGGUUAAGGUAACUCAUUCUUAGAACGGAAUAAAUGUUGCUGUCACUCUCAGGUAAACGCCACAAAUCAGUCUCUAAUAUCUUAACCCAUUCAUUUUCAGAGAAUCUUCUUUGCAAGAGAAUCCCCAAUGUUUUCAGAGCUAAAGGCGACCCCCCACAUUUUUCUACUAUUUUCAUACCAAUCGAUUCAAGAUUUGGAUAUUCAAACAUAUUCCUGCCUUCAAAAGCAUGUCUUACAAAUAAACUCCAAGAGUCACUCUCCUCCAAUUGCCUUAAAUGAAGUAUCUGGGUGUAUCUCAUGACUGAUGCAACUUCUUUAUCAUGUGUUGUCACUAUCAUCCUCCCUCGAGAAGGUUCCUGGUUAAAAAUAAGUAGUAACCGCUCCAGCAUAUUGCAAUGUUUGAUCCAUACAUCAUCUAGAACAAGCAAAUAUUUCUUCCCUGCUAGCCGCUGUUGCAAUUGACGUUUAAGUAUUUCCUUGUCGUCAUCAUAUAAUGUUGAUAAAGAAAUUGACUUGAGAACUGAUUUGAUGAGAUGACGAUAAUUAAAAGAUUCUGAAACAUGGAUCCAUCCUAUAACUUCAAAUUGAUCCCUCGUCAUGUGGUCAUUGUAAACAAGCUGCGCAAGGGUUGUCUUACCUAUCCCGUCCAGACCCACUAUACUGAUUAUGGAUACCCGGUUGUAACCGUGACUGUCUGAAAGUAAAAAUUCAAUUAUUUCUUCUUUCUCAUGCUCUCUACCAUAUAUCACAGAUUCAGCCACCAAAGAUGCAGUUGAAAAUCUGCUGGCUCCAUCUUCAUAAUAAUAACGACUUAAUUCGUGAAGUCCCAAUAUAUUCUUUUGAUCUGCAAGAAACUCUAGCCUCUUGAGCAAUACUUUAAUCCUAGAUUCAAAUCGAUUGAUAGAACCUGAAAGAAAGCGUUGUAUCUUUCCCUUUUGUUUUGCAGCGUCACUAGCAAUGAUGUCCAAUAGUUGAUCUAAUUCGUAUACCUCAUUACUCGCAUCAUCAACCCAAUUCUUCACGUUUUGAUUCUCGUACUUCUUUGUCUCUGCGUCAUCCAGCACUUGAUUGAUAGAAACCAAUGUGAUUUCAAGUUUUUUCACAAGCUUUUCAUGGAGGUAGUCACUGAAAUCUGUUGAAGCUAAUCUCUCACAAAUCAAUUGAAUGACGGGGGAAAGAAAUGCCCGACGAACAACAACCUCUGCCAUGAUAUCAAUUAAUUCAACAAAACCAAAAUGAUCAGGCUAUAUGCAAGAAGAUCAGUUUGGUCAACGAAUCCCCACACCUACCAUAUUACCAUCAUGUUUAUUUAUUCAUUCAUUCAUUUGUUUAUUGUUACAAUACCAACCACCUCAACUCUAUUCACUUGUUUCAACCAUAUAUUCUUUUUUUAAGGGGUGAAUAUUUUGUUAUUCACUGCAUUUUAAAAUGAUAAACUUAUGCCAAAUAACACAAAGAGUGGGAAUAAACUAGCCUAGGCUAGAAGUUGUUAGUCUAUCAUAUGCUUAUGUUUUUGUUUGAGUUUAACCUAUUAUAAAGUCUAGUAUGAUAUGUUAGUCUACUUAAAUGAAUUUCUUUUCAUAUAAAAGUAUUUAAAUAAGUAAUCUGACUUGUAUUUGUUUACACAUAAAAUAAUUAUCUUGUUAGCCAAAGUCGACUGAUAGACAAUCAUAGGUUAGGCAUGUUCCCCCCUCCCCCCCAUGGAAGAUUAGGCGAGUGUUAUUGCAACCCAACGAGGACCAUCUGAUUCUUUCUCAGUCUAAUGCUUAGUAGAACUGGACAAUGAGGUACGAAACUAACGAUCCUUGUUUUUAGCACCAUUAACCAGAAAGAGCGAUGAGUAAGGAGUUAUGUUUCAAGGAAAAUUGUGCACUAUGGACGUUAUCAACAUAUCAAGUUGUCAAGUUGAAAGAUGUCAGAUGAACAAGGGGCGCCCCAAACCCCUCAAAGAGGAGAAAACUAACGCACUACAUGUCAUGUCAUGUCCUUCCCUCUCCUCCAAAAUCCAACUCGCACAAAAUCCACAAAUUCAUGUGUUAUUUUGUAUUAAAAAAAAAAAUCUAAAUUUUUAGUUUUCGAAGACAGAGAUGCUCUAAAUUCCAAGUUUUUUUAAGUUAAAAAAAACCAGACCUCCCCUGAGUCCUCUUUAAAUAACAUAAACACUCACUCUAGUUUUAUAUUAGACACAAACAUCUCUUAAGUUUUUUUAAAGGCUAAAACGCACUUUUUGCCCCCUAAGUUUGCAAAAGUUGCAAUUUUGACCCCCUAUUAAAAAAAAUGGCAAAAGUGACCCCUUAUGUUUAGCCCCUUCUGCAAAACCUCAAUUUUGACCCAGUCAAUCCUAUGUGUCAUGCCACCUAAUUUAAAAAUUUGCCAACUAUAUAUUUUUGUAAUUUAAAAUAAAUAGAAAUGCCACAAUGUAUUUUAAUAAUUAAAAAUAAAAUAAAAAAUGAAAGAGCUUUCUUCUUACCAGAUCCAAACGUAAAAACCAUUCCUUACUCACAAAUCAAAAUCCUAAUUAAAAAUCACAAACAAACUAAUGGGUCAAAAUCAUAGAUUUUGAAACUUUCUCAAAAACCCAUCCUUUGUACAAUAACAAUUCAAUUCAGAGAACUUGCUUUCACAAAAAAUGAAGUUUAUCUUCGUGAAAUCAGAAACAAAACAAUUAUUACUUGCUGCUGAUGUUGCUGCAAUUCUGGGAACCUAGAACAAGGGCGGCGGCGUGAGAAUACGAGUUGUUGGAAAGAGAUAGAUCCAAUUCCGAGAGAGAGAUGUUUAAGGUUUUAGAGGGAGUUUUCGUAGAAUUUAUUUAUUGUAGAUAGAUCUGUCAACCACCUCCUCCCUUUUCUUCUUCUCUUUCCGUUCUUUCCAUUCUGUUUUCCUCCAAACUAACCGCCGUUUUCUUUUGCUCUUUAGAUGAGAGAUUUGGAAUCUGCGAUUUGGUUUCAAAGAUGAAAGUUUGAGUUACAGGUAUAUGAGAGAUUUCAGAUUUGUUCAAAGGUUGCUGGGUUUUUAGUUGUAUUUGAUGAAGAAGAUGAAGAAGAGAUGAAGUUCUUCUAGGUUUGUCGCAAGAAGAGAGAUAAAUUACCUUUAGUUUCCUUUUUAAUUAUUUUAUUUAAAUGAAUAAUGUGGUGGAUUUUGUAUUUCAUUUAAAAUUGAAAAAUUGCACAAGUGUCAUCUGAAUCAGCUAAGUUAAAUGCUACCUUUGCGUUGACCUGGUCAAAAUUGAGGUUUUGCAGAAGGGGCUAACCAUAAGGGGUCACUUUUGCCAUUUUUUUUUAAUAGGGGGCCAAAAUUGCAACUUUUGCAAACUUAGGGGGCAAAAAGUGCGUUUUAGCCUUUUUUAAAAUAGAUAGACACAUCUAGGGGUGGACAAAAACCCGCAGCCCGAGAAAACCCGUCCAACCCGAUCUGAAAAAUGAUAAACGGGCGGGUCGAAACGGGUCUACGGGUCCAAGAAAGAGCAUCUUCAGUUUACAACGGGUUGGUACGGGCGGGCCCGGGUAGGAAAAACGGACCCCUCGAUACCCGAACCCACCCGCAGAUGCAUAUCAUGUGAGAGGAGGAUAAUACACACGCCCCAACAGCUGUUUCUCGAACAGUGUGAUAUUCCUUUUCUUUUCUUUUCUUGACAGAGUGAGUGGACAAUGCCUUAUCAGUGGGAUAUUUAAUUCAUUUAAUAGUAUUAUUUUAACUAGGUUUAAUUAAUUGAUGAUAAGAGUAGAUGAGUAGUACACUCUAUAUAGGAAAUAGGGUAGUCAUCAAGUUCAAUUUUUUACUUUUACGAAGCACAAGCUUUGAAUUAAUCCAUAAAAAUAAAAACAAAAGCUCUAGUAUAAUAAAAAAAUGAUGUGAUUUUACUAUGAAACUCUACCAACACCACAGAGAGAUAGACUAUGGUAUCACUCUUUAGAAAAAAUAAAGAAUACAAAUCAUGUGAUCCAUCUCCUUCAUUUCAUUUCAUCUAUAUUCUCCCUUUAAUUUUGAAGGCUUAGCUUCCAUUGUUGUCUAUGUAAAACAGAGAAUUCCAUCAAUUUCAAAUGCCACUGUCUUAGAUCUAUGCAAGAUCUUCUACUCGAUAUGUACAACAAAGAAGAAGAAACCAAACAAUUCAUGAUUUCUUAUGUCCGGAUCUUCCAAAAAGUGUUACCUUCACUUCAAUAAAAAUUAGAGUUGCUGGAAAAAUCACUGAAGGUUUCUCUGCAUCUAACCCGCGUUAACCCAACCCGUGAACCGUACGACCCGUAACCCGCUGAACCCGCAACAAAAAAGGGGUUGAAAUGGGCUUCUGUAGGACACCCGCGGGUUGGGCAGGGUUGGUGUUUUGAGCCCGAACCCGCCCGACGCCCACCCCUAGACACAUCCCUUUGAGACUCAGCAACUUAACACCGUUAGUUUUUUAUUUUUAUAACUAAAAGGGAUACAAAACUUAGGCUAAAGUGCACGCACUUUUUCAUCCAUAACUUUCAAAAACUUGCAAUUUUAAUCCCUUAAGUACAAAAACUACAAUUUUAUCCCUUAAGAUUUAGUCUCAUUGCAAAUUUGAUCCUUUUGAUCAAUUUUGACCUAGUCAACGUCUACGUGGCAGACCACAUCUGUAAUUAAUUAAUUAAAAAAAUUAAAAAACCAAAAAAUGAAUUUUUAAAUUAAAUAAAUGAAAAAAGAAUUAAAAAAUCAGAAAAAGAAUUUUUUUCCUUCCUCAUCUUCUUCCUUCCUUCCUUCCUCUUCAACAUUAUCUUCCUACAACUUCAUAAAAAACUCAAAAACAACUAUAUAGGUGAAAUAUUAUUAUAUAAUAUAUAUUCUUCUUCUUAUGAAAACACCCCUAUCACAUAAUUUCCAGAAUCUGCAUAUCCCUCUCUCUUAGCUCUCUCUUUGUUCCGUAAUUUCCACCGAUUUCAAUUUCGGUUCACAUUUACCAUACAUAUAAAUCAAACUAGUUCCCACAAACACAUCCUGAUCGAAACCACACUUCAAAACCGACUCAUGAACCAAUUUUCCAACCAUAACCCCAAGAAAGUUCAUGUCUGCUAACGGUAAACUUCUCCGUCCGAUUUUCCAACUGUACCAGUUUUGCAGCAAUUUGAAGGAAGGGGGAAGUUGGUGGUAGUUCUGAUAGAUGUUGAUGAAGAUGGACAUGGAGAGGGAUGGCUUUCAAAUAUCACCUGAGAGAAAUGAAUCUUGAGUUGAAUUGAUUGGGUGGAGUUCGGAGAAACGUUAGAGAUGAGGAUGAUUGGAUGGAGUUGUUGAAUUUUCAAUUUGUUUCCUGAUUUUUUAAUUUUUUAAUUUACUUAAUUAAAAAAAUGAUUAUAGGUUUUUUUUAAUUUUUUUUAAAUUCAAUUUACAUAUGUGGCGUGCCAUGUAGGCAUUGAUUAGUCAAAAUUGGUCAAAAGGAUCAAAGAUGCAAAUGGUUAAAUCUUAGAGGGCUAAAAUUUUAGGUUUUGUACAUAGGGGACCAAAAUCACAAUUUUUUAAAACUUAAAAGGGGGAAAGUGCACUUCAGUCUAAGAUUUACUGUGUAAAUUAAGAUACAUUGGAAAUGUAAAGUGAAAAUGGCCAACAACAAUUAAGUGGUUGAUGAGCUUCAAUUGAGUUUGGAUGGAUGGAAUAAUUCUUAGCCAAGUAGAUAUUGCGGAAGAACUUUGGAUUACCAACUUCUCAUUUUAUAUGAGGUGAAGCAAAGGAAGAAAAAUGUAAAAUUUCGAGGGCUUUUCAUAUGAAAAGCAAUCUAUUAGAAAAGGUAAGUAAGUAAUAUGAAAUGCAAUCUAUAGCAGGAAAAAAUGAUGAACAGUUAGCAUAGAUAGGAAAUGACCUGGGCGUGUUUCAAGUUUCAACUAAGUGAGAUAUGAUUGAUUGAUCACCAAAAUGAGAGAAUACAAAAAAAAAAAAUAUAUUGGGAAACGUCAAUACUUUAUUAUUCACAACUACAUUUUUAAAUUGAUAAAAAUGAAGAUAUCACUAAAGUGAUAUCACCAAAAUGAAAAUACUAUAGAAAUUUUAGGGGUCAAACACCCGUAUAGGUCACCUCCCUCUAUGUCGAUCACUAUGUUUUCUAAAGCUCCCCUUGUGGUUGAAGUUGACACCGUUCUCAAAUGCAUUAAAUUAAUCCUAAAGGGACAUCUUGUCGUAGAGAUGGGUUGCGAGCCCAACACCUUUUAGAUGCAUUGUGUGGAGAAGGUUCAACUGUGGCUAGAGAUCUUUUGUGUGAUAUCACUUUAGUGGUUAACCUAUGAUUAGGAGGAAGAUGUGCCUUGAGUUUGGUAGAGUUUGUAGCUUCUUCACCCUUGUCACCAUUGUUAAAUCCUGAUGGUGGAAUACACUCUAUUGCAGUAGGUACUAUUUGGAGGCGUUUGGUAUCCAAAGUUGCUAUGAAAGGAGUUGGUAAAGAUAUGGCUAUCUCAAUGAAUUUCAGUUUGGUGUUAGGGUUUGAAGUGGGGCAGAGGCCAUUUUGCAUAGUGUCAAUAGAGUAUUGAACCUACGACAUGGAGAUGGUUCCUUGACAAUGCUUAUAGUAGAUUUUUCGAAUGCCUUCAACUUGGUAGAUAGGUCAGCACUGCUACGUGAUGUGAGAUUGAGAUGCCCAUCUAUUUCUCUCUAUGGGUUGAGUUUCUUUAUGGCGAAGCAACGAGGUUAUACGUUGGCGGUGGGCAUAUUAUGUCUGCUUCUGGAGUGCAACAAGGUGACCCAUAGGGACGCUCCUUUUUGCUCUUAUGUUACACCCUCUUAUUCAUCAGAUUAGAAAUAGUUGCAAGCUUCUUCUUCAUGUUUGGUAUCUUGAUGAUGGGACUCUUGUAGGGGAUUCAAAGUAGGUGGCUAAGGCUUUGGACAUCAUUCGAGUUUUUGGACUAGAAUUGGGUCUGGUAUUGAAUAUUCGUAAGAUUAAGAUCUUUUGGCCUUCAUGUGAUGGUAAUCAGCAUCGCGAGGGGUUUUUCCCUAUGGAUAUUGGGAGGCCGUCAUUGGGGGUGAAAUUGUUUGGAGGGGUUGUUAGCUGAGAUAAUGGUUUUAUCGAGGGGUUGGUCAUGAAGAGAGUUUCCAGUGUUGUUGAGUUAAUGCAACUUCUUCCACAGUUACGAGAUCCUCAGAGUGAGCAUCUUCUACUUCGAUCAUGCAUGGGUAUCGCCAAAAUUUUCUUUGACCUAAGAACGUGCCAACCGAUUCACAUGGAGGAGGCGAUUGUGUUGUUUGAUAAAGAGUUGUGUGGAGUGGUUGAGGAUAUUGUGGUUUAUUGAGGUCCAUUCUUUGGGGACCUUCAAUGGAGGUUGGCUUUUUUACCUAUUAGGUCUCGGGGGUUGGGUUUAUACUCACUAGUAGAGGCUUCCUCGUACGCUUUUGUGGCUUCUAGGGCGCAGUCUGUUGAAACAAAAUGUGUUUAACAUUACCACCUUAAGUUUUAAUGAUAACAAAGUAUUAAAAAGUCAAUUGGAUAUGCUAAUAUGAAGGUGACAAAAACACAAGAAGGAGAGUUGAAUUGUGGUUUCUUUUUCUUUUCUCCUACUGAAGUCACUGUUCAGAAGCAGAUAGAGUUCAGCUUCUGAAGUGAGGUUCAGAAUCUAAAUGCAGCAGAUAAGUAAUGAGAGAGAGAGAGAGAGAGAGAGAGAGAGAAGAAAGACACAAAUCAAUUAUACAGGUUCCUUCCACAAACCGGAAGUAGUUUCUGUCCCCCUUGCACUUCCAAGGAGAUUUCACUAAAAUCAAUAUUUGAUUACAACAGCUCACUGCUAAAACUAGCAAGAGACUUGAAACUACUCAAUCACAACUGCAAGAGAUUUCCUAUGCUCAAGAACAAAAUCAAGAGACUUCGUAUGCUCAAGCACAACUACAAGAGACUUAUAUUCAAAUAGAAUUACAAAGAAAGAUGUUUGAGGUUGAACACUUGAUAUAUAAUCAGUGAUGUUCACAAUACAAAUCAGAUACAUACUCUUAAGACUCUAGAAUUUCUAAGAUAUAAAAGUUGAUAAGAAAUUCUAAGUGAACUUUGAUGUGAAACAAUUUCAGCAGAGUGUUGACACUUGUAAAAUUGUUGUGAGUCUCUUUUAAAUCUUCAAGUCUUCACUCCUUUAUAUAGAGGUGUGAAAGAGACGUUGUUGAUUGUCAGCACAUCAAAAAGAGUUGUUUGAAGCUUGAUCAAAUCACCAAUGAUCUGUUGCUUGAUUUGGUUAUUGUCCUAUGAAGGAACAAUUUCAAAUUCAUUCCAAGAAUAGAGGAAUACCAGCGUAGUCACAGCUAUUGUUCUUGUACUAUUGCAGACACAAAAAUAGAGUAAUGGAGGUAGUGGUAGUACAAUUGUACUAUUGUCCUUUUCCAACGUUCUUCAAAGAAUAAGCAUCCAAUGCCUUUAAAAUUCCUCUGAAUUAGCCGUUGCUCCAGGCUUCUCCAAAAAAUGUGCUUGAGCAUUUGUAAUCAAAUAUUGAUUUUAGCGAACUCUCCUUGAUUUGUAUUGCUUUUAUUUGAAGUCUAUAUAGGUCCUAAUUUGGAGUGGAAUUUUCUCAAUCUCAAACCAAAAAGAAGUGUCAAUUGGUGAUUUAGUUUCUCAUAUAGGUCCUAAUUUGAAGUGGAAUUUUAUUUGGAGGAGAGAGUUUUUUGUGUGGGAGGGUCAUCUUUUCGCAAGUUUAUUGGAAGACUUGGAGGGUGUGAGUUUGUCUCAAGAGGAGGAUCUGUGGAGUUGGAACUUGGAAGAGUGUGGGAUUUUCUCGAUGAAAUCGGCCUACAAGAAAUUGGACGGUUUGAUGUCGUCGGAAGUCUUGUGGGGUGAGGAGGAAAAAGGAGUGUUCAAGUCAUUGUGGAAGAGUCCAGCGCCUUCAAAGAUGAUAGCUUUCUCUUGGAAGAUUUUGCUUAAUCGUAUUCCGACCAAAGACAAUCUUAGUUUGAGGAAUAUUUUAUCCGGAGGUUUCACGGUCUUGUGUUUUAUGUGACGAAAGGGAGGAAUCAGCAAUUCAUAUUUUCCUUCAUUGUAAGGUGGCGAGUGGGGUGUGGUUGGAGGUUAUCCGUUGGUUCGGCUCCUCUUUUAUUAUGCCUCCGAAUAUCUUCAUUCAUUGGGAGUGUUGGAGUGGUAUUCAUAGAAACAAGAAAAUCCGGAGGGGACUGUAGCUUGUUGGCUCACCACAAUUUGGGUGUUAUGGAAUGUUAGAAAUAAUAAAAUCUUCAAAGAUUUAAAUUGGGAGGCUGGAGAAAUAGUGGAUGAAAUAAAAGUGGUCUCUUGGAGGUGGAUGUUGUCUUGGAUAAAAUAUAUGGCAUGUUUAUACUAUGAAUGGAGGUGGAAUCCUAAAGAAUGCCUUUUGAGGUAAAUGGAGGUUAGCUGCUGUUUGUGCUGAAGGAGGUUCAUGUAUGCUGUUUGUGAUGCUGUUUGCACCUUCUGUUUUUGGUUUGGCAGGCUCCUUUAGCUGUUCAGUGCUGGGCUGCUAUCUGCUGGUCCAUGCAGCGGCUAGCUGUGUUACGGAUCAGCUUCUGUGCUGCUUUUGGACCACCUGCUUUUGCUGUUAAGGUUUGGGGAGGGGUUUUCUGGGAGUUUUUUUUACUGAUAUGAGCUCUUUCCCCUCAAUUAGGAGGUUUUGUGCUGUUGGGUGUUAGGUGGUUUUGGGAAGGGCGUUUUGGACGUUCCUUUUAUAUAUGGUUUGGGUGGUCACCGUUGGGUGUUCCACAUAUUUACGGCACCUUGUAUUUAUCGCUUUUCUGUCCAAGUUUGUGGUUUCUUUACACAUUCUUUGGCUUAAUAAAUUUGGUUGUUUCAAAAAAAAAAAUUGACAACUGAAGCAGGGAAAUUGCAUUUUACAGAUUAAUCCAAAGUUAGCAAACUCAAAGAUGUCAAAUUCAAAAACUUGUCUGUGAAGACAGAAUAUGGGGUUGUAAUUACUUUUGUUCUUCAGCUGCAUUCUCUACUCACCACUGAUGAUGAGACGGCUGGGAGAUCUCACCAGCAGGACCAGCAUUUAUCAAUCUGCAAAGAGCAGUACACACAGGUCAGAGGGAUUUCGUAAAGUGACUCGAGAGAGAUAUGAUCAAUGCUUAUAUCUUGAAUCCUGAUUCGUCAUUGUUGGCUCUCUUUUUAGGCAGUUCACCUAGAUGGAUAUUGUUCUUAACACUAUGCAAAAUCUACAACCAAAACUUUUAGUGAUCAAAUCUAUAUAGUUGAUCGAAAGGAGAUUAGAAGGCUUGAAAUGGUUGGGGUAGUGAAGGCACCUUUGAGUUACAACGGGAGAAUCGAAGCAACAAAUCUAUUGCAGCAAUAUAUAGUCAUAAAAACAAGUUUAAAGAAGAAAAUGAUUGUUUGCUUGUCUGUUGGAGUGAUAGACUGCUAUCAACCUGGAAUUUUAGGAGAUGAAGUUGAUAUAUAUGUUGGAAUAUAUGAAGGUCACCUUGCAUCGUUUUGAAAGAUGAAGUUGAUAUUUAUGUUGGAAUUAAAAGACUGUUAUAUCAAUUUGAAAAAUAUGAAUAAGUAAAAUUUGAAAAUGAAGAAUCCCAUCGGAUGGUUUUAAAUAAUUUGUGCUAAUAAUUAAUGAAGCACUUAAAUUAGAGGCUCAAGAAGCUGUAUGUUAUGCAAAACUUAUGAUGAUGAUUAUCUAUUUGACGUAUAACAUGAAUAUAGCAGAGAAAAAUGAGAAAAUUCUUUCCGGCAGCCACCGUUUCUGUAUUGGGGCUACAUCAAUCGAGAGAGCCAAAACGACAAGUAUAUUUUAUUUUUAAUAUGCCGGUGCAGAAUAAUAACAGCCACAAGAAAUUUGAUUAAAUCAUUGUCGAUAUUAGAGAUAAAGGCAAAGCUGCCUUAAUAUUGUGUUAGAAUCUGAUUAACAGAACCUAAACUAGUUCAAUAGUCUUAAUCUAGCAUUAGUGAUCUAAGUACAGCUGCCAUAUCCAUGUAAGCCAGCUGUCCUAUAUAUACUAGUGAGCCCUUUGUAUUCUGAUUCAGAUUGAAUAAUACAAUACAGUUACACAUUCAGUUACAACUCUCUCUCUCUCUCUCUUCUCUCUCACUGUGUUCAAGGUUCUUCCACAUUCAUCAAUGACGGAAUUCUAACAGUUCAACUAUGAUUAGAAAAACCAAAUUUCACUGGUAACAAAGUGACAUAACUUUCAAUUUUUUUAUUUUCUACAAUAUUUUGUACCACUUCUUUCUAACAAUAAAAAGUAAAACUGAAAAUCACAGUUAAAGGUCAUAUCCUCACCUUAUAAUUGGUAGACGCAAGUUAUUCUCAAGCCUCUUUUUUCAAGUCUCAUGUUUUCUGGGAACCUGAAAUCACAAAGUCACAAGAAUAUUAAAGAGAACUCGAAAAAGGGAUACAAAAUCACAAGAAUAACAAAGAGAAGAUUAUAUGGUGAAUUAUAUUAAAAAGAAUUACAUGUGCAAUAAACCUCCGCGUCAACAUAUCCAAAUGCGGGGCCUACAAUUGGACCAUGCAUGAGCUUUGUGGAAGUGGAACAAACAGCGACAUCCUUCUGGUUGUGCAUGAGAGCGGUGGUCAUGCCAUUGAUCUGGUCAUGAAUGAUAAUGGAUGCCAACAAAAGAGCAUGGUUUCAGGUCACGAUGACAAUAUAUAUCACAAAAGGCAUGCAUUGUUCAAAAUAAAACACAGUACGUUAUGCAUAAUUUUUACUAUUCGAAAGGAAAUUUACUAAUGUUUGACAACUAUAAACAGAUUGGUGAAUGUUGUGCACCUGUCUACAAUAAAAUCUGAUCUCAGCUGCCAAUCAGGAAAUUAUCACAUAAGGGAUGUGAGAAAUUGUAUGCCAAUGCUCGCCUUGCUCCUUUUGGUACAGCUGCUUAAUUAAUGGACAAUCAUGAAUCGACAAAGUAGAAAGGGAGCUGGGUAGACCCUCCUCUGGCAAGCUAUCAAGACAAGGACAAUCUUCAAUAUAUAGAGAUUCAAGUGAAGUGAGGUGGAGAAGACCCUUGUAGUUUAUUUUUGUUAGGUUUGAACAAUUUGUCAACUCAAGAGAGUUAAUAGUUGAUGGCAGCAUACUCUCCUCUGGAAAGGAUUCGAAGAUUUCAAAAUCGUCACUAAGAGUGAAUUGUUUCAGAGAUUUGAGUUGGAACAAACCCCACUCCUCUAUUGAAGCCAUCAAAUUAGGGCAUCUUUCUAUCCGGAGGCUGCCUAGGUUGCAAGGCAACUGCCUCCCAAAAAACGAUUCCAGCCAUGGACAAUCGUACAACACGAGAGAAUUAAGAUUGGUGAACAAGUGUAGUGCAAAAGGCAAGGAAGAAGAGUGCCAACCUGUUAUAGUUAGAGUGCAAAGGGAAUAACAGCUACACACAUGCAAAGAGGACCAUUCCAUAUUUCGACCAAAGAAGUCUUCAACUUCCAACUCUUCAAGAAAGGCACUAUUAAUUAGAACUUUCUCUAGGGUGGAUUCAAUGACGUGAGUGCCACAAAGGAUGGCCGUUUUCAAGCUUGAUGGCAAUUCAUUUAUCAAAAUGCCAUCACAUCUCUUUAGUUCUAUAUCACUGAUAUUAGCAGCCUUUGGAAUUAAAGCCUCCAACUCUUCGCAAUCAAUAAUCUCCAACUUUUGCAAACAAGGAAGAUGAUGAGGCAGGGCACUUUUCAACUUGGGACAUUGUUUUAGACAAAGCUCUUGAAGCAGAGGGAAACCUUCAAGGCAUAACCAUUCCUUCCAUUCAGACAUAUACUCAACCCGCAAAGUUUCAAGGGAUCUAAAUGCAACAUUUGAUGAAUUAUAGCCGCAAAACUCUGAACCAAUGAUCUUUAUUCCAUGACAGCCUGAAAUGGAAAGCUUCUUGAGAGAAGGGAACUUCCCAAGUGGUGGCAACUGGGAACAAUGUUUACAUCCCACUAAUUCAAGAGAUACUAAAUUUGGUAGAUUAAGAUCCCCAAGCCAAUUUGGAAAGCUACUACCUCUGUAGUCAUUGAUGGUGAGCCUCAUGAGGUUUCUAUUAGGUUGAAGAGCCUCCAAGACCGAUACACGUGCUUCAGUUUCUGAGCCAUCCAUUUCUCUCCAUUCAUCAUACGACAAACUUAAUUCUUCUAAAUGUUUCUUCUCUUUCAAAUUUGCUGCCAUAGCAACUGCUGGAUCCGCCACGUUUUUCAACCCUGAAAUUCGAAGCCUUCCUUUAAGGUGGUUGAGUUCUGCCAACUGCUUAAUAUCAUAUCCAUGUUGCUCUUCCACAACAAAAUCAGUCAGCAUCUCAAGAUUGAUUAAUUCUCUUAUCUUCUUUGGCAUCUUCUUAAUAUGCGUGCCUUUCAAAUUAAGAUGACAUAAAUUGAUGAGAUUGUGAAAAUUUGAUGGGAGCUCAGUCAGUUUAAAACAUUCUUCCAGUAAGAGUGUAUGCAAAUUAUACAACAUACAAAUGGAAUCAGGUAAACUUGUAAUCUCGGUGUAAGAAAGGUCUAGAUAGCGCAGAAGCUUUAAGUUUCUUAUCUCAUCAGCUAGCUCUAAGAGAUUGCAACCAGAGAAAGACAAUAUCCGCAAAUAUUUUAGUCUUGAAAACAAACUCUGCUGCACAUUGGUGGAUAUCUUAAAGCGUUUCUCACCAUAUCCUUGUUCUUCUACCAUCAGACUCUGUAGUCCUUUAAUGUUAUGAAUCUGCUUUAGUUUUCUAUCACCAUCUUCCAAAUCAAGGCGGCACCAAAUGUGACGUGUCCUUUGAGGGAUAUCUUGCACUUUCACACCCUCUAUUCGUAAGCAGAAUUCUCCUGACAUUGAUGUCGCUAAAUCAUUGAUAAGAUCAUGCAUGAUGAAAUAGUACUUACCAGCCCAGAAUGGCAUAAUCGCUGAUGGUUGGAAAAAAGACAUUGACACUAGAUCAUUGAAGAAUUUAUUACCCAACUCUUCUUCUUUUUUGGUUAUUCCCUUUAGCAAACCUUUUGCCAUCCAAAGCUUGAUUAAUUCACCCUUUUCAAACUCAUAACCCUUGGGAAAUAUAGAACAAUAAGCAAAACAAUGCUUCAGAUUGGAAGGGAGGCUAAGGUAACUCAUUCUCAAAGCGGAAUAAAUGUUGCUGUUGUCACCCUUGGGUAAACGCCACAAAUCAGUCUCCAAUAUCUUAACCCAUUCAUUUUCAGAGAACUUUCUUUGCAAGAGAAUCCCCAAUGUUUUCAGAGCUGAAGGCAACCCCCCACAUUUUUCUACUAUUUUCUUGCCGAUCGAUUCAAGAUUUGGAUAUUCAAACAUAUUCCUGCCUUCAAAAGCAUGUCUUACAAAUAAAUUCCAAGAGUCACUCUCCUCCAAUUGCCUUAGAUGAAUUAUCCGGGUGGAUCUCAUGACUGAUGCUACUUCUUUAUCAUUUGUCGUCACAAUCAUUUUGCCUCGAAUGUAUCCCUGGUUAAAAAGAAGUAGUAAACGCUCCAACAUAUUCCUAUUUUUAAUCCAGGCAUCAUCUAGAACAAGUAAAUAUUUAUUCCCUGCUAGCCAUUUUUGCAGUUGAUGAUUGAGUAUUUCUUUGUUGAGACGAAGACAAUCAAAAGAUUCAUCAGAAACAUGGACCCAAGCUUUAAAUUCAAACUGCUCCUGUAUCCUAUGGUCAUUGUAAACAAGCUGGGCAAGGGCUGUCUUACCCAUCCCCGUCAGACCCACUAUACUGAUUAUGGAUACCUGGUUUCGGUUGUAACUGUCUGAAAGUAAAAAUUUGAUUAUUUCCUCUUUUUCACGUUCUCUACCAUAUAUGAUAGAUUCAGCCAUGAAUGAAGUAGCGAAACCGCUGGCUCUUUCUUCAUAUAAAUAAUUAGUAAACUCUUGAAGUUCCAAUCUAGAUUUUUCCAUUGCAAGAAACUCUAGCCUCUUAAGCAAUACUUUAAUCCUAGAUUCAAAUCGAUUGAUAGAACCUGAAAGAAAGCGUUGUAUCUUUCCCUUUUGUUGUGCGGCGUCAGUAGCAAUGACAUCCAAUAGUUGUUCCAAUUCGUAUACCUCAUUACUCACAUCAUCAAGCCAACACUUCACGCCUAGAUCCUCGUACUGCUUUGUCUCUGCGUCAUCUAGUACUAGAUUGAUAAAAUUCAGUGUGGUUUCAAGUUUAUUCACAAGCCCUUUGUCGAAGUAGUCUCUGAAAUCUGUUGAAGCUAAACUCUUACAAAUCAAUCGAAUCACAGGGGAAAGAAAUGCCCCACCAUGAAAAACAUCUUCCAUGAUAUUCAUUAUUUUAAUCUUAACUAAAAAAGCACAAAAAGCACAAGGGAAAGCCAUUAAUUAAAGAUAUGAUCAAUAAUUCAGCUGCUACCGCAUGAGCAUAAGUAAUCACAAGAAAACAUUCUAUAAAUAACAGGUGGAUAUAUAAUUAAAAUCUUAUAUCAAACUUUGAUAUAAAAAAUAAAAUGUUAAUGUUCAAUGAAACAGUAGAAAAUGAAGAAACAUUUGGAAGAAAAUAUUACCUCUAGAAUUAAUGAAGAAACUUUGAUUUUUUUUUUUUAAGGCAAAUAUUAGUGUACUUGGUCAACAGGAUGAGUGUUACGAAGCUACUUGCAUAUAGGUGGAGCCAUCUGGUAGCUGAAACAGUGUUAUCUACUGGGGAGAGGGUGAUUGGUCCAGAUUGCCAGCUGUGUGGCUUCCCUAGAACCAGUCACCAGGCUGAUUGUGAGAUGUGUGAUAAGGUGGCCUAUUUUGAAGAGGCUCACACAGCCAGCGGGCUUUCCAGUUCGAUCCAAUAGCUCAAACACACCAGGAAAAUACAAUUUUGCCCCCAACAAUAGCAUUCUGUCGUCCGGCCUAUGCUGCAACGGUAGUUACCUAUCAUUGUCCCAGCGGCAGUUAGCUACUGUUGCUGUCAGUUUUGCAGACAAUGCUUGCUGUAAAUUCAACCAAGCCAAAAUGUGGUUACAUAAGGGAUUUCCACCAAAUUGCCAAAAUGGAUCAGCAUGCACAUACUCACUUGGAUUUCCACCAACAUCUUUAUGUAUAGCAAUUGUGUUACAAAAAAUAACCAAGUCUGUUCAGCUUCUCAACAUUACAGAAAAGAUGGCUUCCAUGGCAUGGAUUGCACCCAUCAUUGGUGUGCCGCAGGGGUUCCAGAUAGUUGGAAUGACAUUUUGUAUGCGUCAAUCAUGAGCUGGAAUUAAUUGAUCACCAAUCAGCAAUGGUUUACAUGGAUGUUACAUUUUGCAUAGUCCAUGAGAAAACUUUAUUACCAAUAAAAGGAGAUAUUAGGACAUCUUAUUUGAAACAAUUCAAACUCCCAUUAUUGAUGAAAAUAUAACCAAAAUAAAAUUUUACCUCAAUUAAGUUUGGAUAUUUUUGUAUCUCUUCAAAAUUGCUGUAAUUGGAAGGUUUGAAUCUAUUAUGUUCCUUAAUUUGGGAUAUGCUCAAGGUUCGAAGAGGAAAACACUUUCACUCGAAUUCAGCCAUGUUUCUUUUGACAAGAGUAAUUUAUCAGCAUAGAUUAAAAAUGUUGAUGUCAAACUAAGCAGUGAUGGUGUAUAAAAAUUCAGUGACAAGAAUAUAAAAAGAUGGGCUUCCAUAGCAAAACCGACAAUGAUUUACUCUCAAAUUAAUUGAUAUACUUCAUAACAUUGUUCUUCUAAAAGCUCAUCUAAUAAUAUAGAGCUUUGCUAUUUUAUGUACCAAAAUUUCACUACAGAAUUUUACAAAUUAAGUGAAUAGCUUACAAUGCACAAAGGAAGGAUAAUCCCGAAAACCGUUCAUAAGGAUAGAAAAGUAACUCUACUUCAAUAAUUGCAUUUCACGCGAGUCUUAUUUUUAUUUAAUUUUUUUUUGCCAAAUUUUAGCAUUUUCCAAUGGAAUAAAAUUUUGAUUUACACAAAACACUAACAAUGAAUCUGAUCACAAGAAAACAAUAUUAGAAUCAAUUACUUGUCAAGAAUCAAAUUGCAUGUUAUAUACCUAUCAUGUAUCUAUGGAAUUAGUUUAUCCUAAUCAAAAAGAAAAAGGCUAUUUACACAAAUAGUUAGUCCAAAUAAACCCUUCAAUCAUCUGCAACCGCCAGGUUGUACUUUCUUGCCAAAGUAUGGGCAGUUUUGUCAUCCAUAAUGCCAUCAAUCAUCCUAAACUUUUUGUAAUGCACUUUAAGAGUUUCAGCCUGCUGGGCUGCCAACUUCUCUUCUUCUUUUAGCAGCACCUAAAAAAAUGCACUUAGAAUAACUUAACACAGAAUCUCUCAUAGAAUACAUCAACAAACAUAAUUUUAAUCAGUGGCAGUACAUGAGUUAAUAUAAAGUGUUGCUAAAUAGUGGCUUUAGCUACAAUAUAGCACUAUAGGGCAGUGGAAUUUGAAUAAACCGUUAUAAUCUGCGAUCCGGAUUGACUACAAUGCUUUUAAUGAUUUAACAAGUCAGUUUGGCACCACAGAGGUGACUAGAUGAUCUUCCAUACAAAUUAAAAUAAGAGUGUGUGUAAUCUACUACGAAGCAAUACCAUUUAGAGUUCAAACAUAUAUACUAUCAACUGUUAAAAAAUAUGAAAAAAGUGAGUUCUUCAGCCAGAAGAAGUAAAAGGAUGCAUUUUGAUUUCAGUUUUUGCAUCAGUAAUAUACAAUUUUUUUUUAGGGAGAGGGUUUUUUUUUACUUCAACUCUCCCAAAACAAACACAUUUUAAACAUGAGUGCUUCCUUCCAGUAAUUUCCUCUCACAGAACAAUGUCAGGGUAUGGAUUAUACAGAGCAAACUGGCUUCACAUGACAUAUGGUAGUGAUAAAACAAAUCAACCGAUGUAACAACCAGUUUCUUGAAAAUAAAUAAAAUAAAUUAUCACAAUCCUGUAUUAACAAAUCAACCGAUGAUCCAAACAGUUUUUUGAGUUCCACCUCCUCGUAGAAUUUGAAAUCCAUAGUUUCUGAUAUUUUUGAUAUGAAAAGACCAUUUUUUUUCCAUCUCGACAUUUUGCCUAUUUAAAAUGGAUACAAAGUCAAAAGAAUAACAAAGUGUAUAUGGUGAAUUAAAUUAAAAAGAAUUACAAGCGCAACAAGUCUCCGCGUCCACACAUCCAAACGUGGGGCCUGCAACUGGACCAUGCAUCAACUUUGUGGAAGUGGAACAAACAGCCACAUCCUUCUGGUUGUGCGAGAGGGUGGUCAUGAAUGAGAAAGGUUUCAGGUCAGAUGUAAGCAGACAGAAACACGAUUGCAAUAUGUAUCAAAAAAGGCAUGCGCUUUUCAACAUAAAACACUGUAUGUUAUCAUUGUUUUUACUAUUCAAAUGGAAAUUUUCUAUAAACAGAUUGGUGAAUGUUGUGCACCUGGCUACAAUAACAUCUCAUCUCAGCUGCCAAUCAGGAAAUUGUCACAUAAGGAAUGUGAGAAAUUGUAUGCCAACGCUCGCCUUGCUCCGUUUGGUACAACUGCUUAAUUAAUGGACAAUCAUGAAUUGACAAAGUAGAAAGGGAGCUGGGUAGACCCUCCUCUGGCAAGCUCUCAAGACAAGGGCAAUCUUCAAUAUAUAGAGAUUUGAGUGAAGUGAGGUGGAGAAGACCCUUGCAGUUUAUUUUUCUUAGGUUGGGACAAUUUGUCAACUCAAAAGAGUUAAUACUUGAUGGCAGCAUACUCUCCUCUGGAAAGGAUUCCAAGAUUUCAAAAUCAUCACUAAGACUGAAUUGUUUCAG
rnacentral:lncRNA from 1 species